rnacentral:pre_miRNA from 1 species
AAACUACUCCCUCCGUUCCGAAUUACUCGUCGCAGAAAUGGGUGUAUCUAGAUGUAUUUUAGUUCUAGAUACAUCCAUUUCUGCGACGAGUAAUUUGGAACGGAGGGAGUACUAU